rnacentral:misc_RNA from 1 species
AAACCGAUCAUUUAGAACUAAACCGAACCGAAAUAUAGCAGCUCAGUUUGAUUUAAUUUUUCAUUUAUUUCUAUUAAAUUUAAUUUUAAAUCAAAUGCUCACCGGAUCGUAAUUGGAUGUGCGAUUCAAAUGGGCCUAUGACCGGCGCACCAAUGACCACCGCCCUGACCUGCUUAUAAUCGCAAGCAUUUUAAACUUUUUCCACCCUAACACACACCCUCCACUAUUACAAUUUACAAAACACUACUCCCUUAUUUUCUUUAAAGUUCUGACACCCCCAUUUGUCACUUCCUUUUCUAUGGUUCUGUGCCCACCAAUUGUCCUUUUUAAACAUUAAAAAAGAAGAAAGCAAGCAAAAACGUUCAUUUUGAGAUCCACCUUUCCACAGCACAAAAAAAUUAUGCUGGCGGGAAAUGUUGAUUUUGCACUUACUUUUAUACAUCUUUUCGCACAUCUGUAAUACUACCAAAUCCUAAUUUAAUUAAGUCUAUAAGGUUUACUAAAACUCACUUAAAUUUAAUAAUAAUUUUUAUUUUUAUUUUUAUUUCUAUUAAUAAUUUAAUCUUCAUAUUUUAUUUGUAUUCAUAUAUUAAAAAUUAAUUUAUUAAAAAAGUAAAAUAUGAACUAAAUUAUUAAUAAAAAUAAAAUUAAAAAAUCAAAUUAUUACCAAAUUUAUUAAGUAAUUUGUAAAUUUAUUAAAGUUCAAGGACUUCCCUAUAAUUUACUCUAAAUCAAGGCAUGAGCUGCAACUACACCGCUCUAAGUUUUUUCAUGAUAAUUAAAAAUAUAUUAAAUUAUUUAUAUUAUAAUAAAUUUUUUUUUAUUUCAUUAAAUUAAAAUAUCAUCUAAAUAAUAUAAUAGCAAAAUGAGAGAUGUUAAAUAAAUUUUAAAACAUUAUAUAAAUACUUAUUAUAUUUAAUAAAAAUGAGAUUAAAAU